UACGUAGGGUGCGAGCGUUGUCCGGAAUUAUUGGGCGUAAAGAGCUCGUAGGCGGUUUGUCGCGUCUGCUGUGAAAGACCGGGGCUCAACUCCGGUUCUGCAGUGGGUACGGGCAGACUAGAGUGAUGUAGGGGAGACUGGAAUUCCUGGUGUAGCGGUGAAAUGCGCAGAUAUCAGGAGGAACACCGAUGGCGAAGGCAGGUCUCUGGGCAUUAACUGACGCUGAGGAGCGAAAGCAUGGGGAGCGAACAGGG
rnacentral:rRNA from 1 species